AUACUUAGCUGGCAGGGGAGAUUCCAUGAUCAGGAAGGUGGUUUUCCCAGGGGUAGCUUAUCCAUUGCACUCUGACGUGCUCAUCCCUGUGAUUUCCCCACGUGUGGGAAACUCAACUGCAUAAUUGUGGUAGUGGGGACUGCAUUCGCGCUCUGCCCUG